AAAGUAGUAGAAAUAGGCAGCUACCUGUCAUGUGAACGGUAUCCCCGGCUUGGAGAGUUGUAUGUAAUAAAGAGUUGGGAUUAAGGAUAAGUUGCUGUUAUACUUACAUUAGUUCCAACAUUUUUAGGAUUGGAGACUUGUAUGUUAUAAAGAGAUAAAGAAACACACAAUUUAAUUUAUUGAAGGCUAAAUAUGCUUAGCCAAAUAUCACGAGAACCUAAAUCAGAAUUUACCGUAACUCAAGGAUCAAAAGUUCAUUUAUCUCUUUAGUAAAAUAAGAAUUCAAAAUGUAUUUUUUAGUUUCUAAUGAGGGAGCAUAAGACUGAAAAUAUUUUAGUGUUAAAAGGGUAGGAGCAUGUGAAAUCUGUAGGUUAUGCUUUGAACUUUUACUCAUAGAAGAGGGAAAAGAGUUGAAGUUAAGGUCUAUCGACAUUUGUGAUUUCUUUUUUGUUGCUUGUAUGACUUCCUACACAGGUGUCUGAUGUUCACAAACGACCAAACUCGGAACUAUGUCAUGCUAAAGCUUCACAUGAUGAAGACUCUCACAUUUCUGACAACCGAGGUGUCCAGAUGUUGGUUCAAAUAAAGCAUGGCUCGUGCCAUCCUCGAGCAAUAUUAUUCAAAUUACUUGCAGAUACUGUAGGUCUUGAAAGCCGGCUAGUUGUGGAUUUACCUGCUGAAGGAGCGUCCGAGUGUGAAGAAUCUUAUAAGCACAUGUCUAUACUAGUUGUGCUAAAUUCUGUGGAGCUACUUGUUGACCUUAUGCGUUUUCCUGGUCUACUUAUUCCACGAACAACCAACAAGUCUAUUUUCCUAACCCACAUAGCUGCUGGGGAGAGUGAUUCUGCAGAAAAUGAUUCCUGCGAUUCACCUCUGGAGCCGAACAGCCCCCUCUAUGGGGUUUCAGAGGGAAACGAUACUGAUAGUUCUGAGAAAGAUGACAUCCUCCAGUAUCAGAGGAGAUUUGAAGCAUCUUCAAAUGCUGCUGGAUAUUCGUUGAGGAAUAUGAUGUUGCGUUCUAACACUUCAAUUGACAGAAACUGAGUUUGUCGCAUAGUGAACUCUAAUACUGCUACAACGGUUUGGAGAAGAGGUCGCAGGAAGUUAUAACAGAACCGAGGACUGCAAGUUCAAGAUUUUCUUUUUCAUGAGCCAGACUCUACUCUUUUUUGUCCUUACCAUGAUAUUUCAAUAUUUUGGAUAUAUUUACUCACAGUCCUGUCAUGUUUGGGUCUAUUCGUGCUUGCACAUCUCUCAGUAUGUUACAUGAAUUUGGGUGUGAAUGUUAGAAAUGAUGAUGAAACACACAGGUAAAUUUAUUCAGUUUCUAGUAGGUUUUCUGACGGCAUCACUUCUCUACGUCAAUGUUACCAAACAUUGUUGCCGUGAACAUAUCCUUGAUUGGAUAAUCAGAACGAUGCUGCUGAGCACUUCGAUUUCUCUUACCUCUUUUUAUUGACCAUGCAACACAACAACAAACCCAGUAGUUUCCCACAAUUGGGGUCUGGAAAGGGUAAGAUGUACGCUGCCUUACCCCUACCCCUGGAAGGGCAGAGUAAAAUUAAAACCUCUUUAAAAUGGAAAAACUAUGUGCAGUUUGUUCAUUUUUUCUGUUCUCAACAGAACUACAUUACCCUUUCAUAUUUUUAUGGGGAGAGGUAAUACCAAAAAUGCUAGUGUGCAUCUAAGUCAAAAUAUGUGCAGGUUCUAAACUUUUAUACUCGUGAAAUGCACCCUGUUUCCUGUUAAUAACUGAAUCAACAUAAUCAGGAUUGUCAAAUAUUAUUAUUCUUAUUUUUUAUAGGUUACCCUUUCAAAAUUUUUCUUUUUUUUUUUUUCUUUUCAGAAUUCUGAGUUCCCUAUUGUUUCUGUGUUUCACAGGUCAGAAGGUGCAUCAACAUCAGAAACACAAAGAAUUACGAAGAAGAAGCAUUAGUAUAACUCCAGAAAUUGGUGAUGAUAUUGUAAGGGCUGUUAGAGCAACGAAUGAAGCACUUAAGCAGACCAACUCUUGAAAGAACAAGGGGAAAAUAGUUCAUAUCACGCUUCAAACAACAGAGAUUAUGCGUCAGAUCCGAAAAAGGAUGUAUGUUACUUUUUCUCUCUGUUUUGAGGACCACUAGUAGUUUUGAUGUCUUUUGCUCUGGUAACAGUUAGGUUUUAUUUUCGAUCCAAUGACCGGCAGAAUUAUGUUUUUCCAGUUGGAACUCUUUUAAAAUGUAAAAGGAAUAUGAUUGAAGGGCAAAGAAUCGUAAAUCAUAUUCUUGUUGAGUGUUCUUCAUCUGAACUGUGGUUUUGGAUGGACAUGUUGUCCAUUGAUGCCAGAGUUACUUUUUUUUUUUAGAUGAACUAAGGUGUUUCAUUAAUAAACGGCAUCAAGAAGAUGCAAAGUUACAAAGAACAAAAGAACUAGAGCACAAAAAUACUAGUUUGUUAGCCCCUUUACAUCAAAACAUCAGGGAACUAACAAAAUCAAAAAAUUGACCAAAGCUAAUUACAGGAGUUAAGUUAGUCCAGCAAAAAAGGUUAAGCAGACAUCUAGCUUUAAGAGAGUGAGUUGGAGUUGAGAUCCCAUCAAAACAUCUACGAUUCCUUUCAUUCCACAAGCACCCAAAAAAAACUGCAGGGAUCAUCACCCAGAUCUUCUUGAUGGUCUUUUCAACUCUCCAUAGGCUCCAGCUUGCAUAUGCUUCACCAACAUGCUGUGGCAUGACCCAUUGAAUGCCAAAGAGAGAACAGAACAUAUUCCAUAGUUCCUUAGCCACUCUACAACAACAAUACAACAAUAACAACCCAGUAUAAUCCCACUUGUGGGGUCUGGGGAGGGUAGUGUGUACGCAGACCUUACCCCUACCCUGAGAUAGAGAGGCUGUUUCCGAUAUACCCUCGGCAUCCCUCCCUCCAAGAACUCCCCACCUUGCUCUUGGGAUGACUCGAACUCACAACCUCUUAGUUCCUUGGCCACUCUACAAUGCAAAAACAGAUGGCUGACUUACUCGGAGCUGCUUUGACACACUAGCUAGUAAUUCCAACACGCUAUCUAUCUCCCAAUCCUGAACGUAUCUUCGAAUAAUACAUUCCAAUUGUUCCCACAUCUGUUUUGAGCAAUAGAGGAAUUCUUAUCUUGGGCAAUCUGGAAUAAAUUUAGGUAUGUCUCCAUGAGUGGAAUAUUGUUUAACCAUUUAUCUUUCCAGAAACUAAUGUUCAAACCAUUCCCAGCCUUGAAAGAUACUUGCUCAAAGAAUUCAUUUCCCAACUUGUUGAUCUGCUGCCAAGGACCAACCCCAUGAGAUGAUGUAGAUGUGUUUGUUCUCCAGUUGUCCCUUCUACCAUGUUUAGCAACAAUUACUUCUUUCCAAAGGCUCGACUCAUUUGUACCGAACCUCCAUAGCCAUUUCAUGAACAGACUUUUGUUGCGUAAGGCCAAAUCUCUAAUACCCAGACCUCCAUUGCAUUUUGAUUGUGAGACUUUGGACCACUUGACGAGAUGGUAUUUGUGGGAGCUGUUGUUUCCUUCCCAGAGAAAGUCUCUCCUGAACUUGUCUAGCUUCUUAAGUACCUUGCUAGGGAUGAGAAAUAAUGACAUGUAGUAAGUGGGGAUGCUAUCAAGGACACUAUUGAUGAGAGUUAGUCUCCCUCCCAUGGAAAGAUACUGCAGCCUUUUCAAACUUUCCAAUGAUCCCAUUCCAGAUUUCAGUGUUCUUGUAUUUGGCACCAAGGGAGAGACCUAGAUAGGUGGUUGGGAGUGACCCAAUUGUACAACCCAUAAUGUUGGACAGUUCCUCUAGGUUAGGCACAUCACUAACUAGGUACAUGAUACUUUUCAACAUGUUGAUAUGUAAACCUGAUAGUGCUUCAAAGAGGAGAAGUGUCAAAUUCAAAUACAGUAGUUGUGAUGUAACAGGCUGACAAAAGAUGAGUGUAUCAUCAGCAUAUAGCAAGUGUGACACUGUGACCGAGUUCCCGAUAUUAGUACCCACAUUGAAGCCCUGAAUCCACUGCAACUGAUUGGCCUUAUCCAGCAUUUUGCUCAGUCCUUCCAUUGCUAUAUUGAACAAAAAAGGGGAGAGGGGAUCUCCUUGCCUGAUCCCUUUUUGAGGAGAGAAGAAACCCACUGGACCCCUAUUGACUAUCACUGGGUAUUUCACAGUUGACAUGCUGAAUCUGAUCCAUCUUAUAAAUCUGUCUCCGAAUCCCAUUUUCCUAAUAAUAGAGAUGAGAUAGGAUCAGUUUAGCUGGUCAAAUGCCUUUUCUAUGUCAAGCUUGCACAUCACACCGGGUUCACGACUUUUAAUCCUCCAAUCAAGGGUUUCAUUGGCAAUCAGUGAUGCGUCUGUGAUUUGCCUAUGUUUUAUGAAGGCAUUUUGGUGGGUUGAGACCAGCUUGCCAAUAAUCUUCUUCUGUCUCUCUGCUAGAAGCUUCGAGAUAAUUUUGUACACACUUCCUGUGAGGCUAAUUGGCCUAUAAUCUCUCAACUCCAUGGCUCCUUUCUUCUUGGGAAUUAGUGCAAUGAAUGAAGCAUUGCAUGAUUUAACCAUAUGGCAGUUAUGGUGGAAGUGGUUGAGAGUCCCCAACACUUCUGGCUUGAUAAAGUCCCAUGCUUUUUGAAAGAACGCCAUGGUAAACCCAUCUGGACCUGGAGCUUAAUCUGGGGCACAAGACUGGAUAACAGCAUGGCCUUAUUCUUCAUCGAAAAUUGCUUCUAUCAUUUCGAAACAUUUCGUUGUCAACUGCUGAAAUUCUGGCCACCUCCUCAAAAUUGGUUGUAGGUCUCCAAACUUUAUUUUCAGUAUACAAGUUCUGGUAGUAAUUUAGGAUUUCUUCCUUGAUCAACUCCUUGUCAUCAAUUACUUCUCUGCCCACCUUAAGCUUGUCUAUAGUGUUGUGUCUUCUAUUUGAAUUGGCCAAUUUUUUGAAGUAUUUAGUGUUUCUGUCUCCCUCUUUGAGCCACCGACAUCUAGACUUUUGUCUCCACGAAACCUCCUCAGCUUUGACCAAGCUCUGCAGCUCCAGUUUCAAACUCAGAAUCCUUUGCUUUUCAGAUUGUGUAGAGACUCAGUUUUCUAUAGCCUGCUCUAGGACUGAAAGUUCAUCAAGUGCUUUGCCUCUUCUAUCAUCCAUUAUGUCAUAAACCUCUCUGUUCCAUUUGCUUAUAUCCUUUUUCAGGUUCCUCAAUUUUUGGACGAGAAUAAAAUCAGGCGAGCCACCAAUCAUGUAGUUCUGCCACCAUCCCUUUAUCAUAUCAAUGAACCCAUCUUGCUGCAGCCACAUGUUCUCGAACUUAAAGUAGGAUGUUGUUGCUUCCCACUCACCACACUCCAGUAGUAAUGGCUUGUGAUCAGAGAUAACCCUUGGAAGUGCUAUCUGUUUGAUAGCUUUGAAACUUUCAUUCCACUCCGAGGAGAUUAGAAACCGAUCAAUUCUGGAAGCCUGGAGAGAGUCUUCUCCCCUUGACCAUGUAUAUUGUGCUCCUUGAAGAGGUAAAUCGAUUAAUUCAAGGUCUAAUAUAAUGUCUGAGAAGUUCCUCAUGGCUCUGGAUCUUCUAGUACAGUUGAAUCGUUCAUACUCGAACCUGCAAACAUUAAAUCACCACCAAUCACCCAUUGUUCACCCCAUAGCCCCCUCACUGCUCCCAGCUCCUGCCAAAACUCCUCCCUCUCUAUGUUUGAAUAUGGACCAUACACACCUGUAAAGCCCCACCUGAAAUCUUCAUGCAAACUGUCAAGGAUGUAGGUUAUUAAGAAUCUACCUUGAUAGGAAUCAAAACACCUCCAUAGUCUCUUGUCCCAUAGAACAAUAAUACCCCCUCUGGUACCACUUGCCUUCAACUCUUCCCCUUCAGCCCAUUUAUUCCCCCAUACUUGGUGAACCAUACCUGCAGGCCAGUUCUCUGUUUUAGUUUCUUGAAGACACAAAAUAUUAGGUUUCCAUCUGCGGACUAGUGAACUAAUAGUGGUCCGUUUAUUAUUAUCAUUAAUCCCCCUUAUGUUCCAACUAAGAAUUUUGAUCUUCAUCUUUUAAUUUCCUUGCAUCGCCUGCCCCUUUCCUUCCUGCUACUACCCUCAUAAUUAACGCCACAUUAAAUUAACCACUUCGUUCUCACCUUUCUUCUUGCCCUUCUUCUUUUUUGAGCUUGAGCAGUUCCUAUUUUGAAUCUGAGCCUGACGUUUCUCAUCCAUUCUCAGAAUUAAGUCCAUAAUUUCAUGUUCAAAGCCUGCAUGAUUAAUCCCGAAGGCCUUACAUGCUUUACCCAACAUUUGCGUUGUCCACUUUGAAAUCUCGAGUGCAGUAGGCUCCCGCACCAUCUGUAUAUUAGGCUGCUCAUCCUCAUACCAUGGAAGUGACAGUGAAUCACUACAAGAGGGGGUAGAGUACUCAGAGUCAGAGCAUGUAAUAGUGGUGGAAGCAAUUUUAGGCCACUUUGUGUAUAAAGAAAGUCAACUUGGGCCUUUUGUUCUUUGCAUUAGCCUGAUUUUUGGGCCUUUAGUAUAGUAGGUUUUAUCUACUCUGAGGCCCACUGUCUGAUGACAUUUGUUGAUAUACCAAAGUUACUAGCUAGAUGAAAAUCGGAUAUAUCUGCUUCACUUCAGACAAUAGAGGAUUCUACAGAGGGAUGGAUACUUGGGGACCGUAUUCAAGUAAACCUAAGCGAAUGCGGGUUCAUGUGUGUUGUGCGAGGGAGGGAGGUAGAUCACCCGUAGAUAUCUAAACUUACUAUUUAACCUAAGUAUACAUUGAUCUAAGAACAUCUACGAAGAGCUGAAGACAAGAAAGUGGAUCAUAUUGAAGAUUAGUGACACAUGGAGGGUUUCUAAUGGCCUACUGAUGUGUUCUGUUGGGUUUUGCUACAUUGCUCAUUCUCCAAUAUGCUUCUGCAACUCUCAAUGCGAAAGAUGAGCUUAGUACUGAACCUGAAAUGUCUCAUUUCAAUUUUCUUUCUCAUGAAUCUGAUGUACAAAACAACAACAUUUUGUGGCUUCUAUGGCGGAAAAAAACACAUGUGGACAUUGGGGUGAAAUAGGUUCUUCUAUUAGUUCUGACAUACUAAAAGUGACACCAUAAAUGGAGAUGAGUCUAUUUGUUUUCUUGAUCGUCUGGAUGAGUAUUUGUUUUCUUGAUCGUCUGUCUCUUUUCUUGUGACUAUCAGCUCUAAGAUUUGUUAUUGCCCCUCCCCUCUCCCUUCCUGAGCUGAGGGUUUUACGGAAACAACCUCUCUGCCUUUUUAAAAGCAGGGGUAAGGUUUGCGUACGCUCUAUCCUCCCCAGACUCCACUUGUGGGACUGCCCAGUUGGGUCUACACUGGGUAUGUUGUUAUUGUUAUCAGCUCUAAGAUCCUGUGUUCCAUUAAAAAUUUUCUUAAAAGAAUUUAGUUGUUUUGACUUCAAAACAGAUUUAUAACAAACACUAUAUCUCGUGAUUUGUAUCUAAAUCUUCCAUCCCUAAUUAUUAUUUUUUGUUGUUCCAUACAUGAGCCUCUGCAAUGGGUUUAUUGCUACUGAUCAGAUGAUCCCUAGGGCAUGGACAGCAAAAAAAUUGUUGGGAUUGCCAAAUAAGGAACAAAUUGUGUCGUGUCACUGUAGUGUAAAAGAUACACUAGAUAUGUAUACAGACGGAUGCCAGAAGGAUUUGUAUUGGAAAAGUUUUGUACAUUACCUAUUGAGAAAAGUAGAGUCAUUUUCUUGUCU